AACUUUUGACAACGGAUCACUUGGUUCUCGCAUCGAAGAAGAACGCAGCGAAAUGCGAUAAGUAGUGUGAAUUGCAGAAUUCAGUGAAUCAUCGAACCUUUGAACGCACAUUGCGCCUCCUGGUAUUCCGGGAGGCAUGCCUGUUCGAGCGUCAUUAAAAACCACUCAAGCUCUUUUGCUUGGUAUUGGAAGAGGAGUGCACUCGCUUGCCCUCCCUUCCGAAAUUCAAUGGCGGAAAGCCCCAUGUGCCCCGGCGUAGUAAGUUUUCUUUCGCUUGGAACCUGAGGUGAUCCUGCCGCAAACCCCCAAUUCUUUCUAGGUUGACCUCGGAUCAGGUAGGGAUACCCGCUGAACUUAAGCAUAUCAAUAAGCGGAGGCU
rnacentral:misc_RNA from 1 species